rnacentral:rRNA from 1 species
CCUACGGGCGGCAGCAGUAGGGAAUAUUGCUCAAUGGGGGAAACCCUGAAGCAGCAACGCCGCGUGGAGGAUGAAGGUUUUCGGAUUGUAAACUCCUUUUGUUAGAGAAGAUAAUGACGGUAUCUAACGAAUAAGCACCGGCUAACUCCGUGCCAACAGCCGCGGUAAUACGGAGGGUGCAAGCGUUACUCGGAAUCACUGGGCGUAAAGAGAGCGUAGGCGGGAUAGCAAGUCAGAUGUGAAAUCCUAUGGCUUAACCAUAGAACUGCAGUUGAAACUGUUAUUCUAGAGUAUGGGAGAGGUAGGUGGAAUUCUUGGUGUAGGGGUAAAAUCCGUAGAGAUCAAGAGGAAUACUCAUUGCGAAGGCGACCUGCUAGAACAUAACUGACGCUGAUGCGCGAAAGCGUGGGGAGCAAACAGGAUUAGAUACCCUUGUAGUC